UGGGGAAUAUUGCACAAUGGGCGAAAGCCUGAUGCAGCAACGCCGCGUGAGGGACGACGGCCUUCGGGUUGUAAACCUCUUUUAGCAAGGAAGAAGCGAAAGUGACGGUACUUGCAGAAAAAGCGCCGGCUAACUACGUGCCAGCAGCCGCGGUAAUACGUAGGGCGCAAGCGUUAUCCGGAAUUAUUGGGCGUAAAGAGCUCGUAGGCGGUUUGUCGCGUCUGCUGUGAAAACCCGAGGCUCAACCUCGGGCCUGCAGUGGGUACGGGCAGACUAGAGUGCGGUAGGGGAGAUUGGAACUCCCGGUGUAGCGGUGGAAUGCGCAGAUAUCAGGAAGAACACCGAUGGCGAAGGCAGAUCUCUGGGCCGUAACUGACGCUGAGGAGCGAAAGGGUGGGGAGCAAACAGGCUUAGAUACCCUGGUAGUCCACCCGUAAACGUUGGGAACUAGUUGUGGGUCCAUUCCACGGAUUCCGUGACGCAGCUAACGCAUUAAGUUCCCCGCCUGGGGAGUACGGCCGCAAGGCUAAAACUCAAAGGAAUUGACGGGGUCAUAGCUGUUUCCU
rnacentral:rRNA from 1 species